rnacentral:rRNA from 1 species
GACAGAGGCCUCGAGCGUUAGGCGGAAUCACUGGGCGUAAAGCGUGUGUAGGCGGUCUUACAAGUCAGGUGUGAAAGCCCCGGGCUCAACCCGGGAAGUGCACUUGAUACUGUUUGACUUGAGUACUGGAGAGGUUGGUGGAAUUCUCGGUGUAGAGGUGAAAUUCGUAGAUAUCGAGAGGAACACCUGUGGCGAAGGCGGCCAACUGGACAGAUACUGACGCUGAGACACGAAAGCGUGGGGAGCAAACAGG